UUUUAAUAGUUUAAUAAAAAUAUUGAUUUUGUAAAUCAAAGUUAACAAAAUUUUUAAAACAU
rnacentral:tRNA from 1 species